UUGAUUUUAGUUAUUUGUGAACGUACUACGAACAAGCAAAAAAAUAUUAUAGUCAAAAAAAAAUUAAAUCA
rnacentral:misc_RNA from 1 species